CAGCCGCCACGGGAAUACAGAGGGUGCAAGCGUUAAUCGGAAUUACUGGGCGUAAAGAGCGCGUAGGUGGUUUGUUAAGUUGGAUGUGAAAUCCCCGGGCUCAACCUGGGAACUGCAUCCAAAACUGGCAAGCUAGAGUAUGGUAGAGGGUGGUGGAAUUUCCUGUGUAGCGGUGAAAUGCGUAGAUAUAGGAAGGAACACCAGUGGCGAAGGCGACCACCUGGACUGAUACUGACACUGAGGUGCGAAAGCGUGGGGAGCAAACAGAAUUAGAUACCCCCGUAGUCCCUGUCUCUUAUAC
rnacentral:rRNA from 1 species